CCUACGGGUGGCAGCAGUAGGGAAUCUUCCACAAUGGGCGAAAGCCUGAUGGAGCAACGCCGCGUGGGUGAAGAAGGUCUUCGGAUCGUAAAACCCUGUUGGUAGAGGAGAAAGAGCGUGAGAGUAACUGUUCACGUUUCGACGGUAUCUAACCAGAAAGCCACGGCUAACUACGUUCCAGCAGCCGCGGUAAUACGUAGGUGGCAAGCGUUAUCCGGAUUUAUUGGGAGUAAAGGGAACGCAGGCGGUCUUUUAAGUCUGAUGGGAAAGCCUUCGGCUUAACCGGGGUAGUGCAGUUGAAACUGGGAGACUUGAGUGCAGAAGAGGAGCGUGGAAUGCGAUGUGUAGCGGUGAAAUGCGUAGAUAUAUGGAAGAACACCAGUUGCGAAAGCGGCUCUCUGGUCUGUAACUGACGCUGAGGUUCGAAAGCGUGGGUAGCGAACAGGAUUAGAUACCCGAGUAGUC
rnacentral:rRNA from 1 species